CCCUAGCCCUGAUGGAAGCGGCAUCCUUUUUCUGGCUUCUUUAGCCAGGAAAAGAUAAAGCGUACAGCAGGAAAUAGC
rnacentral:sRNA from 1 species